rnacentral:lncRNA from 1 species
ACUAGAACACACCCGUGAUAUCACGGGUUCGUGACUGAAUUAAAGUAUAUAACUAUGUGCAAGCCUUAUUUUAGUAUUAGUAUUGUCAUCUGAUAAAGUCAUGCCGAUUAUAAGAUACACAGUUUUCUCUGCUUCAAGUCUUUCUGUUUGAACCCGUCGAACUGAAACAAUAAUAUUAAUUAUUUGGAAAACAAAAGGUCCUGGAAUGAAGUAUUUUUUAAUCAACAGCAUUG